UGGAAACAUAGCUAUUGCAGCUCGGCAUGCUCAACGUGUACAUGGAUUGAAGCGGGUUCUUAUAAUUGAUUUUGAUGUUCAUCAUGGGAAUGGUACAUGUGAUGCAUUUUAUGAUGAUCCAGACAUUUUCUUCAUUUCAACUCAUCAGAUUUAUAUCUUGGGAGCUCAGUCAAGGCAUCCAAAGCAUACGAGAAAGUUCAUUACAGUAUGCAAAUGACAAUGCCUUGCAGCUUGCCAAGGCAUGCAUGAUGGUGGGGCUGAAGGGAAUCGUUUCAAGAAGGUGAAAAGCGAAGAUACAUGCGAUCAUUCUGACAAAGGCGAGGAAGAUGUUGAAGAGGAAGAGGCAAGGAAGAAUAGGCUUGGGCUUAAUAAGAAGAGUGGUGAUGAUGAUGAGUUGAUUGCGAAGGGAAAAUCCUAUGUGAAUUCGUGUAAAUAAUUGAUGUAAAAGUUUGUAAACAAUUUUUUUUUCUAGUAUUUUGGUGAAUGUAUUAUUUGAAUAUAACGAGAUUUGAU